UCUCCGUUGGUGAACCAGCGGAGGGAUCAUUACCGAGUUUACAACUCCCAAACCCCUGUGAACAUACCAUUUGUUGCCUCGGCGGUGCCUGCUUCGGCAGCCCGCCAGAGGACCCAAACCCUUGAUUUUAUACAGUAUCUUCUGAGUAAAUGACUAAAUAAAUCAAAACUUUCAACAACGGAUCUCUUGGUUCUG
rnacentral:misc_RNA from 1 species